GCGAAAACUUUACAAUGCUGGCAACAGCGAUAAGGGAACCUCGAGUGCCAGGUUACAAAUCUGGCUGUCGUGAUGCCUAAAAAGCAUUGCAUAGCAAGGGCCGGGCAAGACCGGUGCCAGCCGCCGCGGUAACACCGGCGGCUCGAGUGGUAACCGUUAUUAUUGGGUCUAAAGGGUCUGUAGCCGGCCGGAUAAGUCUCUUGGGAAAUCUGGCAGCUCAACUGUCAGGCUUUCAGGAGAUACUGUCUGGCUCGAGGCCGGGAGAGGUGAGAGGUACUUCAGGGGUAGGGGUGAAAUCUUGUAAUCCUUGAAGGACCACCAGUGGCGAAGGCGUCUCACCAGAACGGACCUGACGGCAAGGGACGAAAGCUAGGGGCACGAACC
rnacentral:rRNA from 1 species